GACGUAGGGUGCGAGCGUUGUCCGGAGUUACUGGGCGUAAAGCGUGCGCAGGCGGUUGUGCAAGACAGAGGUGAAAUCCCCGGGCUUAACCUGGGAAUGGCCUUUGUGACUGCACGGCUAGAGUGUGUCAGAGGGGGGUAGAAUUCCACGUGUAGCAGUGAAAUGCGUAGAGAUGUGGAGGAAUACCGAUGGCGAAGGCAGCCCCCUGGGAUAACACUGACGCUCAUGCACGAAAGCGUGGGGAGCAAACAGG
rnacentral:rRNA from 1 species